ensembl:lncRNA
AGCGAGUUGGCUUGUCACCUGGCACCGCAAAUCUCAGGCGUGCCAGCAAGUCUCCUCUUUGCCGUGGCACCAUCUGGACAUAAAACGGUGUGGAAUUUCCAACAAAUGGUGUUUGAUGGACAUGUCUGGUGGAAGCCUCUGCAGAGAAAGGCUAGAGGACAGUGAAAGGAGCUGUACAUCUUGAUAGAGGAUCAUGGGCUCACUCACCAUUCAGCAAAUGUUUACUGGUACGUUACUGUAAGCCAAGUCCAAAGCCGGACAUCAAGCAUGUCUCUACCCUAUAAUUUGAUGAAGAAAACCACAGUAAAUAGUGAUGUCUAUUGGAUAGCUAAAUAGACAGGUUGAUGGGAGAUAACCGGUUGGGACUGCUGUGAGUUAUUAUAGGCCAAUGGAGGUCAGGGCUAUUUUGAUCUACAUCGAACACAAGGGGAAGUGAAUUGGUUAACUGGCAUGCCCUGCAUCACGGGGGUGAGAAGUAACGAAACCAGAGUUUUAAACACACAGCAAACGAACACUCUGUGUGCAUGAAUUCCAAAUUCUCCCGUCCAACCAAAUACAGAACAAAUAGAAAGUCACCUUUGUGCUCUGCGUCUACGGACUUUUGUUCUAGUCUCCAUCCUUUGAACAACACAGUAACCAACUGUGUCCUUAGCCCUGACACUCUGGGGAGUAAAGCAUCAUCUAGAAGAAUCGAAGCAUAUGGACGAUGAAAUUAGGCUCAGUGGUACAUGCUUACAGUUCGAGCUACUUCAGAGACUGAGACAGAAGAAUCAACUUGAGCCGAGGAGUUUAAGACCAGCUUAGCCGACACAAUAAGAGGGUGUCUAAAUAAAUUAGUGAGAAGUGUAUGGGCCGGUGUGUGCAGGUUUCAUGCUAAUACCGUGUUGUUUUGUGUAAUAGAUUUGGCAUCACAGGCUCUAAGAACCAGUCCUAGAGAUACUGAAGGACUACAGUGCAGAUCGACUGAGUCUUUUGUGUUCCAUGGCCCGGCAGGGGGAUGCUGUUCUCAGAAAUUGUAUUUAAGCUGCUUUCCUCCCUUUCACAGUGGCUGGCUCAUGUAAGAACCUCAUAAACAUGGUACUGAAUUAUGAAUGAGUGAAUUAAUUAAAACAUGUAUAUGUCUACUCUA